CUCAAAUGGCCACUGCGAAAAGCAACCGCGUUAAAGUAAAGGAGUAAAGAUGACGCGCUACCGGCCGCUACACCCAUAUAUAUGUCCUAUCCUGAAAAAGUCGAUCGGUCCUCGAGAGCAGAGGCUGCACAGCUAUUGUUCCGCUCCACGGGGGGCGCGUUUUAGACCGGCGUCGGUUAGCGUCUAGUACCUUAGCCUACCGCGUAAUCGCCAUCGUCGUUCCUAGCGAGCGACACUAAUAUGCCAUGGCCUUCUUCGUAACGACAACGCGACCUCCACCAGACCGAACAUGCAGAACCAGCGCCGCCGCCGCUACCCACCGAGGCUGGUCUUCCGCCGGCCGCCGCGGCACCCGCCGUUCCGGCGCGCGCGCACGCUGCCCACGUACGCUGCCGCGCGCGCGACCAUGACGCGCCGGCUGCUGCGCAAGAACACAGUCCCUACACUGUGCAGGCACGUGAGCCGCUUGGGCGAGCGGUCCGCCGUGCUCGCGGAGGCGGACACGCGCUGCAGGGGCGACGGCCGACUCGCCCCCUUCCGCCACUUCCUCAGCAGCCCCCGCUGCUGCAGGUUCACGGACCUGCAGCGCGGCCGCACCGGCUCCGCCUUCCGCGCGUGCGCCGCCGGCGGCCAGUUCUCGCAGCCCGUCGACGACAGCUCCGCGGAGCACCACGGGCUCCACCCCCGGCCACUCAGGAGGUGCAGCCUGCUCGCCUCUCGCGGGCUCCUCCUCGUCGACGAGAUGGCGCACGGCCAGAAACUGGGGCGGGAGCGGCUCAAGACGAGCGGCGGCGGCUAGCUACCGAGUGCGGUGUCGCUCCUGCAGCUUCCGCGGCACCUUCUGCGCUUCCUCGAGUGCCGGCUCGUCAGGGGGCACGUCCUCGAGGGGCUAACAAAGCGGUCAAAGCCGGGCUGCCUGCGGCUAGAGUCCCUCAAGCGCCGGCUGUACCUUCGCGAGGAGCCGGUUCCGGACCUGCUGCCGUUCCUCGACCUCCUGAGCAAGAUGUACCUCCGGGGUCCCGAGUAUAGCGGCGGCCCCCUUGUGCCGCCCGCACAUUUCCACCUCCGGCUGCCGCCGGAACAGAGGGCUUCGUUGCCGCAAGACCGCAGACCAGUACUGGACUUCGCCCUCAAGUUGCCGUCGGGCGGCUGUGACCACCUACUGCUGCUGUCAAAGCUCGUGUUCUGCAGCAGCCGCUCGUUGCCUCUGCCGCAACUGCUACGCGUCAAGAACUUCUCCUCGGACCUAGAAUCCGACUUGAUGCUCCGCCAGUACCUCUCGACCCCGUCGAGCGGCACCUGGCUGCCGGCCGCCGGCGGGCCGGUCGAGCUGCUGAACAACGAGGUGCUGGUGCGCCCGUGCACCUGCCGCCCUCCUCCUCCUGCCGUACCGCUGCGCCGCACCGGCGGCUCCGGCUCCUGCCUGCUCACCGCCCUCCGCGCCCACAGCGCCAUGGCUCUCUUCGCCGCCUGCUCCGACAAGCGGUUCUUCUAUGCGAUGCUCCACGCCUUCGACUUGCGCCUCUUCGCCGGGGCCUACUUCCCGGCGAAGCAGUUCGCGUGGCCGCGGCGCACGCGGCAGUGGACUGGAUCGGUCCGGCAACGUGGCACGCACAGCUAACGACGCGCGCCCCAUGUCUAACGCAGCACGAGCAGUCAGUGCCCGUACCGUACUUUAAUGUGUGUGGGUGUGUGUUUUUAAACAGCUUCGACGAAAUUAAUCACAGAUAAAACAAGCAGUCCUUACUAAAACAGGAAAAAGCAAAGAAAGGAACCACUAAGGCCGUCACCUCUUCCCGGCCCUUGUCUUGCAAAUCGAGUGGAACUCUUUACCAAAACCCAACCACCAAAAACGCUGGAAAAAAAGAGAGCAGAGAUGACAGUCUCUACUCUCUUCCUAUCCACCAAGACGCACGUACAAUACCAACGUGAACAUGUGAACAUGUAAACAUGUAAUAACAUUAUUUAAUUGUAUAUAUUUAACCAACGUUGAGAACAUACA
rnacentral:rRNA from 1 species